GACGAACGCUGGCGGCGUGCUUAACACAUGCAAGUCGAACGGUGAAGCGCCUUCCUUUUUGGUGGGUGUGGAUGAGUGGCGAACGGGUGAGUAACACGUGAGUAACCUGCCCCCUUCUUCUGGAUAACCGCAUGAAAAUGUGGCUAAUACGGGAUAUUCUGGGUCUGUCGCAUGAUGGGUCUGGGAAAGAUAUUGUUUCGGUGGGGGAUGGGCUCGCGGCCUAUCAGCUUGUUGGUGGGGUGAUGGCCUACCAAGGCGGUGACGGGUAGCCGGCCUGAGAGGGUGGACGGUCACACUGGGACUGAGACACGGCCCAGACUCAUACGGGAGGCAGCAGUGGGGAAUAUUGCACAAUGGGCGCAAGCCUGAUGCAGCGACGCCGCGUGAGGGAUGGAGGCCUUCGGGUUGUGAACCUCUUUCGCCAGUGAAGCAGGCCUGCCUCGUUUGUGGGUGGGUUGACGGUAGCUGGAUAAGAAGCGCCGGCUAACUACGUG
rnacentral:rRNA from 1 species